CAUCAAAUCAGCUAUUUUUUUUACGUCGUUGCCUUAAAAGUUUAUUUAAUUAAUAUUGCUGCUCGCUACAAGAUAAUUUUAAACACAUUUUUUCAAAUUUUAAGAUGGACGAUUGACUGGACUAUCGCACCCGGAUAUAAUGCUUAUGUACAUGGGUUGACAAGACCUCGUUAGCGACAACAGGGAUCAAGCUUUGCAGGCAAUCCCCAAGUAACCAAAUCGGAAAAGCAAAACAAGCAAAGAAAUACUCAAAAUAUCUGGACAUUACAUGCGUUUAUUUCAAUUAAAUAUUAAUUUGUUUUGCUGUAUGACUGUGAGACUUAGAAUGUCCGCACUUGUGAUUUAGAACGAUUGCAAUCCUUCACCAAUCAUUGUCUUCGCAGAGUGCUAAGUAUAUAUUUUAACACCAAUCAAGCACUAUGGAGCCGCAUACAACAAAAUCCAUUGCGCAACGAAAUUCUUAAGGGCAAGUGGGCGUAGAUUGGAGACACCUUAUGCUAACGGUAUUGCAAAAAGCAGGUGGUGACUUUAGACCAACAGAAAAAAGUGGAGUAGAAAUUCCUAUAACAGGAAUGGUCGGCCAAAUAUCUUCAAAUGAAAACCUAUAGGUUCUCUGACUUUAAAAUUUGUUAACCACCAAUUGUGAAUAUUUUAAAUUAAAUACU